rnacentral:rRNA from 1 species
ACGGGAGGCAGCAGUGAGGAAUAUUGGUCGAUGGUCGGAAGACUGAACCAGCCAAGUAGCGUGAAGGAAGACUGCCCUACGGGUUGUAAACUUCUUUUAUGUGGGAAUAAAGUGCCCUACGCGUAGGGUUUUGUAUGUACCACAUGAAUAAGCAUCGGCUAAUUCCGUGCCAGCAGCCGCGGUAAUACGGAAGAUGCGAGCGUUAUCCGGAUUUAUUGGGUUUAAAGGGAGCGUAGGCGGAGACUUAAGUCAGCGGUUAAAGCGUGUGGCUCAACCAUACCACGCCGUUGAUACUGGGUCCCUUGAGUGCACAUAAGGAUGGUGGAAUUCAUGGUGUAGCGGUGAAAUGCUUAGAUAUCAUGAAGAACUCCGAUUGCGAAGGCAGCUGUCCGGGGUGUAACUGACGCUAAUGCUCGAAAGUGCGGGUAUCAAACAGGAUUAGAUACCCUGGUA